CACCUGACCUUGGGUGAUCCACCCGCCUCAGCCUCCCAAAGUGCUGGAAUUACAGGCAUGAGCCACAGCGCCCAACCUAGGUUUGAUCUACCCUUGAGCGUGAGUUUCUUUACCUGAAAGAUCCUUUUCAGAGAUACAUAUUUAUUUACACAGAAACCAUUUGUUGAAUGCCAAGAAAUCCAAAGAAACAGGAGAUGUCUUGUCCACGACACUUGUACAGCAGAUCCCUACGUAACUGUGAUAAUCGAUGGAUGAAUGCUAACACAGUUCUAAUGGAAUCAGAGACUGGGAAGAACAUCAUGGCAGGGUCAAGGACAUGGAGGCAGCCAGGUGUAAAAUAAUCUGAGAACAGUAAGUUGACUUGUGUGACUGAAGUAGAAGAAUCUUGCAAGGAAAGGUGAGAGAAAAGGCCAGAGAAGUGGUCACGGUGCUAGGCUUCUUUCCCAGGGUCACCUCUCAGAGCUGGAUGCUCUUUACCCCAGUGGGUCACACUGGUAUUUCAGCCUUCAGGGUGGGGAUUGUUUCGGAGACAUUUUCAGUUCAAUCCAAAUUAGGCACUUGGGGAUUGGCCAGGAAAAAUCUAUAAAUAUCUUUUCUUCUUUCCCUUUGCCUCAGAUGAAGAGGCUUUUCUCUUUUUUUCUUUUUUUUUUUUUUUUUGAGCCUUAACUCUUCGAUCUGUGUUCCUAGUUCUAUCUUGUUUUUUUUUUUUUUUUUUCUUUGUAAAACAGCUUCAGAUACUCAGUAGUUCCUUUAUUCUUAGUUUUUGAGGUAGCUCCCUACCUUCUCCAGUUAUCAGAGAAUCAGAAAACUUCGCUUUUCCUUCUGCUUUCCUGUGUCAUGGUACAAAAUAGAUCCAGAGGGGAUAUGGCAGUCUGACUGAAAGCAAAAGUGUUUUGUUCUUUCAAUUCUGACUUGAGUAAAAAUUUACCAUAGUUACUUGGUUUUAUUUUAUAUGUACCCUUGUAGGCUGACUUAAAUACCUCCUUUAAAAAAA